rnacentral:ncRNA from 1 species
CUUGCUUAGGUCUGUGGUUGAAAAUCGAUGCCAGUCGCAGGCGAAACGAUCCACGUAAGGAGCUCAAAAAGGGCUCUGAGCAUGGUGCGGCUUAGAAGUAAGUCCUGCCGUCCGGUGGUAAAUUUCUCAAGUGAAUUUAUUAUGGGACGAGAGGGGUAGUAGUGAGGAGGUAAUACUUAGUAGCGAACCCUCCAGCAGGCGGGUGUGGGGGCAAAGACCAGGUCGGCUAAGCAAA